CAUGAUAGUCCACCUCUUUGCCUGUGUGCGUGCACAAUCGCCGCAGCUCGAAGGAUAAAGGACAUAACAGGGUCGGAGGAAUACGCCGUGCGUUGAAGCUCGAGAUGCAGAACAACCCCCUAGCCCGUCGUGGCAACGAGAGACAGAGUCCCAGUGCUUGCGUGAGCGGUUAGAUGGCCGCGCACCGUUGUGCUUGCGUCUGACUGUGUGAUGUUCUUUUUUUUUUCGUCGUAUUUGCUGUAAUCUGUUCGCAAAGCGAUGCGCCCAAUGAUAUCCCUGCGCACACUUUACACAUGAAAGACAGCGUUUCGCGCUCUCUUUUCAGGUGGUCAUCAGGGGGCAUUGCUUGAUCACGGGGCUGGUGCCUCGUGCGUCGAUGUAAGCAACGCGCGGGCUGUCCUCAAUCUUUCGGGCCCUGUUGACGGGCUAUACCUCCCCGUGUGUGAUCAGGGUCCGAGCGCCCCCACUCUGCAUGGAUGCCGAACCACCCCCACUGCCCUAUCCCUGCCAACGCGGCGCCACUGAUGGUGGCGACAGGGUCCAGCGCCCACGACGUGGCGUGGCGUCGGGGCGACCUGCGAGGCGGGUGGUGGGCAGAGUUCGAGGCCGCGGCCGUGCUCAUGUGACUGAGUCGGCGCAUUGCUGUGACGCGCGUGUGUAGCGCUGCUUCGAGCAACGAGGUGAGCGCGUUGAAAAAGAAAGAACUCUCUCCUCUUGGGUACUUGUUCCACCUUAAUUGCUUACCGAUUCGGGCCCCUCCACUGCAUCUGCCUCUCUUUUGUCUUUACUUGCUUUCGCGGGUAG
rnacentral:misc_RNA from 1 species